AGGCUUCCCUCAUGCAAGUCGAGCGGAGUUUUGGUGCUUGCACCAAGACUUAGCGGCGGACGGGUGAGUAAUGCUUAGGAAUCUGCCUAUUAGGGGGGGACAACGUUUCGAAAGGAACGCUAAUACCGCAUACGUCCUACGGGAAAAAGCAGGGGAUCUUUGGACCUUGCGCUAAUAAAUGACCCUAAGUCGGAUUAGCUAGUUGGGGGGGUAAAGGCCUACCAAGGCGACAAUCUGUAGCGGGUCUGAAAGGAUGAUCCGCCACACUGGGACUGAAACACGGCCCAAACUCCUACGGGAGGCAGCAGUGGGGAAUAUUGGACAAUGGGCGAAAGCCUGAUCCACCCAUGCCGCGUGUGUGAAGAAGGCCUUUUGGUUGUAAAGCACUUUAAGCGAGGAGGAGGAGCUCUAGGUUAAUACCCUGAAUGCUUGGACGUUACUCGCAAAAUAAGCACCGGCUAACUCUGUG
rnacentral:rRNA from 1 species